GAUGAACGCUGGCGGCGUGCCUAAUACAUGCAAGUCGAGCGGACUGACGAGAAACUUUCUUCUCUUAUGUUCGCGGCGGACGGGUGAGUAACACGUAGAUAACCUUCCUGUAAGACUGGGGUAACUUCGGGAAAACGGAGCUAAUACCCGCUAAUGUUUUUCACCGCAUGGUUCAAAAGUUAAAGGCGGUCUUGCUGUCACUUAUCGAUUGAUCCGCGCUGCAUUAGCUAGUUGGUAAGGUAACGGCUUACCAAGGCAACGAUGCAUAGCCGACCUGAGAGGGUGAUCGGCCACACUGGAACUGAGACACGGUCCAGACUCCUACGGGAGGCAGCAGUAGGGAAUCUUCCGCAAUGGGGGAAAGUCUGACGGAGCAACGCCGCGUGAGUGAUGAAGGUCUUCGGAUCGUAAAACUCUGUUAUUAGGGAAGAACAUAUGUGUAAGUAACUGUGCACAGCUUGACGGUACCUAAUCAGAAAGCCACGGCUAACUACGUG
rnacentral:rRNA from 1 species